GUACUGCCCCGCCCCUGUCGUGCUGCAGAGCGACCGCAUCCGCGUCGGUAGGCUAUGUCUUCCAGCUUCCAGGCUUGAUGUCUUUUUACUUCGGGGAACUGCAUCAACUUUUGUGAGAUCAUGCUUUAUCCUCUGGCUUUGGUACCAUUUUGUGAACGAAAACUGUUCUCUUCUGCCCUGUAAUGACUGAACACGCUGUACGGUAAAAGUGGGGCCUCAUGAAGCGAAAAGUAAUCCAAAAUGAUGUGAACAGGUUCAAGCUUUGAGACUCUGGUAAUUCAACUGUUACAGUGCCUGGCUCUAGAAUUAAUUGUCUAAUUAGGUUCAACCUAAUAGCGUGCCUUGCAGUUAACGAUGGGGGGUGGGGCAUACUUAGCUCCUGGGGUAUGCCAGAAACUGAGUUAAAGUUAGCCUUACUAGAUUCAUAUAAACAACCACGCUAGAAGCGAGGUGUGGUUUUAUGCCUAUCAGAUCGACCCAGCUGUCACAGCAGAUGGUAUAGAUAGGAUUCAAAGCUAAUGAACUUAAACUGCCAAACAUAUAUUUAACUCUCCAAAUUAAAUGAUUUUUAAAACUUGUCUUAAUACAAGUAAUAUAGAAAACAAUGUGUUCAUUUUUAUAUUCUUUUUCCGUUCCACUGUCUUGCUGGAGAAUUGCUCCUACCAAGCUCUAUCAGUUAUAUAGUGAAGGUGAGACAAUUUAAUAAGCAGCUGUUUCUAACUCAAAUAAACCUUUAUUUUUAUUUUAUUGAUUCAUUGUGAAUUUCACAUCAUACACUCCAGAUCCACAAUCCCUCCGUCCUUUUUGCCCUUGCAAACCCCCCCCCCCCCAAAAUAAAAAUAAAGUUUAGGAAACCUCAUCGUGAAGCUGUCGUGUGUCACAGUGUGUCCUACAGUAUACCCUUUUGUCCAUACAUUAUUACUUGCAAAUGUACAUUGCAAUGAGUCAUUGGUCUGGUUCUAGGUCUCUGGCUUCUGCUACACCAAUAUUGGAUCCUCACAGGGACUCUAUUCGGUUAUCCUGCUAUUGUCCUAGGUCACUGAGAUCCUGCAGCUCUGGAUCAGCAGGACUAGCUAGCCCUUUCACAUGUUCCAACAGGUUACACAUAAGGUAGAUAUCGGGGUGAGCUACUCAAAACCAUGGAUUUGGGCCUGGGGCCAGAGCCUGCUGGUCAUUCAACAUGGAAACCACGACUUGGGGUAUGAGGAUGAUUAUAGGAAAGGCAAAAAGAAGAUGGAAGAGACAGAUAUGGGAGGGCUACAGGUCAAUACCACCACUAGCAGCAAGUUUACUUUCUCAGUGUCUUUUAAAGGCUAGCAACAGAAAGCAUGACCAAUUCCAGGAAGUUAAACAAUGAACAUGAACAUUUA
rnacentral:lncRNA from 1 species